rnacentral:lncRNA from 1 species
CUUUAGGGUCUUAUCAAUUGGUAUAAGAGUGACGAUAAGACUUUAGGGUCUUAUCAUUUGGUAUCAGAGCGGCGAUCCUUAGCAUUUUCACUGCAGUAUUACCAUAGCUAUCUAAAAAAGAAAAAAAAGAUGAAAAAAAGAAAGAGAAAGAUAUCGUUUGAGAAAGGUUGAAGCCGGCGGCCACUGACCACCACCGCGAGAAGGAAACUCUACUUCCGGCCACCAACCAC